AUCUGGAGACAGGUGCUGCAUGGCUGUCGUCAGCUCGUGUCGUGAGAUGUUGGGUUAAGUCCCGCAACGAGCGCAACCCUUGCCUUUAGUUGCCAGCAGUUCGGCUGGGCACUCUAAAGGGACUGCCGGUGUUAAACCGGAGGAAGGUGGGGAUGACGUCAAGUCCUCAUGGCCUUUAUGACCAGGGCUACACACGUACUACAAUGGCCGAUACAAAGGGCAGCGACACUGCGAGGUGAAGCCAAUACCCGUAAAAUCGGUCUCAGUCCGGAUUGGGGUCUGCAACUCGACUCCAUGAAGUUGGAAUCGCUAGUAAUCGUGGAUCAGCAUGCCACGGUGAAUACGUUCCCGGGCCUU
rnacentral:rRNA from 1 species